rnacentral:rRNA from 1 species
AGUGAACGCUGGCGGUAGGCCUAACACAUGCAAGUCGAACGGCAGCACAGGAGAGCUUGCUCUCUGGGUGGCGAGUGGCGGACGGGUGAGGAAUACAUCGGAAUCUACUCUGUCGUGGGGGAUAACGUAGGGAAACUUGCGCUAAUACCGCAUACGACCUACGGGUGAAAGCAGGGGACCUUCGGGCCUUGCGCGAUUGAAUGAGCCGAUGUCGGAUUAGCUAGUUGGCGGGGUAAAGGCCCACCAAGGCGACGAUCCGUAGCUGGUCGGAGAGGAUGAUCAGCCACACUGGAACUGAGACACGGUCCAGACUCCUACGGGAGGAAGCAGUGGGGAAUAUUGGACAAUGGGCGCAAGCCUGAUCCAGCCAUACCGCAUGGGUGAAGAAGGCCUUCAGGUUGUAAAGCCCUUUUGUUGGGAAAGAAAUCCAGCUGGCUAAUACCCGGUUGGGAUGACGGUACCCAAAGAAUAAGCACCGGCUAACUUCGUGCCAGCCGCCGCAGUAA